GACGAACGCUGGCGGCGUGCUUAACACAUGCAAGUCGAACGAUGAAGCCGGAGCUUGCUCUGGUGAAUUAGUGGCGAACGGGUGAGUAACACGUGAGUAACCUGCCCUUGACUCUGGGAUAACUGAUAGAAAUGGUAGCAAAUACCGGAUACGACCCUCGGAGACAUCUCCAGGGGGUGGAAAGAAUUUCGGUCAAGGAUGGACUCGCGGCCUAUCAGCUAGUCGGUGAGGUAAUGGCUGACCAAGGCGACGACGGGUAGCCGGCCUGCGAGGGUGACCGGCCACACUGGGACUGAGACACGGCCCAGACUCCUACGGGAGGCAGCAGUGGGGAAUAUUGCACAAUGGGCGCAAGCCUGAUGCAGCAACGCCGCGUGAGGGAUGACGGCCUUCGGGUUGUAAACCUCUUUUAGUAGGGAAGAAGCGAAAGUGACGGUACCUGCAGAAAAAGCACCGGCUAACUACGUGCCAGCCGCCGCCGUAA
rnacentral:rRNA from 1 species